AGGCCACUGUGCAGCUGAAUGGGCUAAGUGUACAGCUAAGCAACCAUGAUACUGUACCUUUGUGGAUUUAUUCUUCUUGUUCUUCCACUUAUCCUCUGAAAUGUUACUUGAAAGCUGCUUUCCUUCUCAACUCUGGCCAGUGAGCAGAUAGAAGCCAUGACCUGGUGUUCAACACAGUAAAGCCCCUUUUGUCCGUUUUUUAUCCAUAAGGCAAUGUACACAAAAACAAAGCCAUAUUUUGCAGCCUUUCAGAGGGAGAUAGACUAUUUAUUUUUGUCCUUAAAAUUUAUGAAAAGGAAAAGUGGCUGUGAAUGAUCUUGUACUUUCUGAAUUCACCUAGUACUUCUCGCCAUUUGGAUGAGGUGUUUUUUGUUUGUUUGUUUGCGUGUUUUUCCUAUUUUCCCUGAGAUUUUUUGUUUUACUUUUCUGGUGCCUCUUGGAAAGUUGUUAAUCUAUAUUUCAUGCUUGUUUGAUGUAAAUUUUGGAUUUAAAUAAAGGUUAAAAUUUA